GAUGAAUAUUAAAUGAUGCUAAAGUAGUGGGGACGCGUCCGCUUUAUCAACGCUAAAGCCUAUUAAACGGCAAACAACAAAACAACUACGCUUUCGCAGCCUAAGAAACUGUGUGCGUGCUUCUACUCUGCAUCGUCCAUGUGACAGGGAUAGGGGCUAACAAAUAGUGGAAUACGCUGUCUCAUCUCCGCCUGGGGUGAGCUGAAGAAGAUAAUCAGGCUGACCCGAAGGGGACCCGGUUACGGGGGGCUUCUAGGGUGACAUCAAAUCCGUGACUACACUCGUAGAAACUUAUGUGCCGUUAUCUUCGGACAGGGGUUCGACUCCCCUCCCCUUCACCA
rnacentral:tmRNA from 1 species